ACGUACCCCCGGGUCGGGGAUAGCGGCGGGAAACUGCCGGUAAUACCCGAUAAUCUUCCCAGGUUUUACGACAGGGGAAGCAAAGGUGUGAUUCCGUCCGGGGAGCGGCCGAGGUCGUAUUAGCUAGUUGGUAAGGUAACGGCUUACCAAGGCGAUGAUGCGUAGGGGGUGUGAGAGCAUGGCCCCCAUCACUGGCACUGAGACACUGGCCAGACACCUACGGGUGGCUGCAGUCGAGAAUCUUCGGCAAUGGGCGCAAGCCUGACCGAGCGACGCCGCGUGCGGGAUGAAGGCCUUCGGGUUGUAAACCGCUGUCGGAGGGGAUGAAAUGCAUGGGGGUACUCCCCUGUGUUUGACAGAGCCUCGGAGGAAGCACGGGCUAAGUUCGUGCCAGCAGCCGCGGUAAUACGAACUGUGCGAACGUUAUUCGGAAUCACUGGGCUUAAAGGGUGCGUAGGCGGCGACUCAAGUCAGGUGUGAAAUCCCCCGGCUCAACCGGGGAACUGCGCUUGAAACUAGGUUGCUCGAGUGAGGUAGGGGUGUAUGGAACUUCCGGUGGAGCGGUGAAAUGUGUAGAUAUCGGAAGGAACGCCGGCGGCGAGAGCGGUACACUGGGCCUUGUCUGACGCUGAGGCACGAAAGCUAGGGGAGUGAACGGGAUUAGAUACCCCGGUAAUCCUAGCCGUAAGCACUGAGCACUGGAGGAGAGGGGUUUCGGCCUUUCUCCUCGCAGCGAAAGCGUUAAGUGCUCCGCCUGGGGAGUAUGGUCGCAAGGCUGAAACUCAAAGGAAUUGACGGGGGCUCACACAAGCGGUGGA
rnacentral:rRNA from 1 species